rnacentral:tRNA from 1 species
GCCUGGGUGGCUCAGUGGGUUGAGCGUCUGGCUUCGGCUCAGGUCAUGAUCUCGCGGUCCGUGGGUUCGAGCCCCGCGUCGGGCU